ACGGAAGGCAGCAGUGGGGAAUAUUGCACAAUGGGCGAAAGCCUGAUGCAGCGACGCCGCGUGAGUGAAGAAGUAUCUCGGUAUGUAAAGCUCUAUCAGCAGGGAAGAAAAUGACGGUACCUGACUAAGAAGCCCCGGCUAACUACGUGCCAGCAGCCGCGGUAAUACGUAGGGGGCAAGCGUUAUCCGGAUUUACUGGGUGUAAAGGGAGCGUAGACGGUUUGGCAAGUCUGAAGUGAAAUGCGGGGGCUCAACUCCUGAACUGCUUUGGAAACUGUCGAACUAGAGUGCAGGAGAGGUAAGUGGAAUUCCUAGUGUAGCGGUGAAAUGCGUGGAUAUUAGGAGGAACACCAGUGGCGAAGGCGGCUUACUGGACUGUAACUGACGUUGAGGCUCGAAAGCGUGGGGAGCAAACAGGAUUAGAUACCCUGGUA
rnacentral:rRNA from 2 species